rnacentral:misc_RNA from 1 species
GUACAUAAGUGCUUGCGCACGACAAUAAUUUCAUUCCAUUCGAGUGUGUGUGUAAAAAUCCUCUGCCAGCCGAAGCUAGCAAGAGGCCAAAGGUUCACAGGGUAGUAGUGGAUGAAAGCCACCAACGUGCACUUGCUCGCGAGAGCCAGCACCGAAGGUAACCAUUCGCAAUCAUUAAUGAUCCUUCCGCAGGUUCACCUACGGAAA